GGGUGUCCGUGAGGGCAGGGACGGGACCCGGGAGUUCUGCCCCGGGAAAUGGGGCCGCGGCCCUUUGCCCGGAAUGCUCCCGCCGUGCCUUGAACAGGGUGGUUUGUCUUCUCCAGAAUCGCUCCAGGCAAAGCAGGCUGCUGUGGAGCGCCAAGGACCAGGGACCUCUGCCCUGACACGGCCACACCGCUGCCCUCACUGCCGGCAAGGAAUGGCUUGGGGCAGUGGCUGUGAAGAAGGAGCAGCCCUUCCCUAGAAGGACAACGCGAUCCUGCCGCUUCCAGCCUCCCCUCCCUCUCCCCUCUCUUAGUUCCCGUCUUGUCCCUGUUCCACAUCUCUAGGGCAACGCUCAAUUUUGCAUGUCCUUCUGAGGUAUUACUCUGCUCCAGACUUACUCUUCGUGUACAUUUCCGAAUAUGGAAAGUACAUAAAUUUGACAGUAUUUUGAUUUCCUUGAUCAUCUCUCUGUUUAUAGAUGCCUGUGCUCUCACACCUUACCAUUUUUCAGGAUGCCCACUUUGCUGUGUGUUGUUGGCAGCAGAUGUUAGCAAGCCUUGAGGUGUUACAAUUAGCAUUCCCUCAGCAGCUGUAACAAAACAUGGGUUUUUGACUAUACUUACAUAUUUUCUCAGUUGGUAGGAUGUGUACAGCUAUGUACCAAAACCAGGAGAAGAAAAAAGGGAAAAUCUGCACUUAGUACCCAGAAGACUCAAGAGCUCUAAGCUCUUCUUGAAAUGUAAGAGUGUGGAAAGUACUGCCCUGUGACCCUCUGUGUGAAAACCAGCUAGAAAGAUAAAAUGAUGCCAUCCUUAGAAAUGCAAGUCUGUCAUGGUAGUGGUUGAAAUCACAGGGUAUUAAAAUUUUCAUGUAUUGGUGUUCUGUUUUGAGAAAUUUGUUUAUCCAAGAAUGGUAUGCCAUCAUUUUCACUUUGAGGCUUAUUUUAGAAGUAAAAAAAAAAAAAAAAAAGGCUUCUGAAAGAUGCCAUUA